rnacentral:rRNA from 1 species
UAUCUCUGUAGAGUCUGCAUAUCAAUAAGCGGAGGAAAAGAAACUAACUAGGAUUCCCUCAGUAACGGCGAGUGAAGCGGGAAGAGCUCAAAUUUGAAAUCUUCAAGGUUCUACCUUGACGAAUUGUAGUUUAAAGAAGUGUUUUCUGUUGGAGUUUUGGUAAAAGUUCUUUGGAAUAGGACAUCAUAGAGGGUGAGAAUCCCGUAUUUGACCAUUACUUUCCAGCGUUGUGAUACACUUUCAAAGAGUCGGAUUGUUUGGGAAUGCAGUCCAAAAUGGGUGGUAAAUUUCAUCUAAAGCUAAAUAUUGGCGAGAGACCGAUAGCGAACAAGUACCGUGAGGGAAAGAUGAAAAGAACUUUGAAAAGAGAGUUAAACAGUACGUGAAAUUGUCAAAAGGGAAGCGUUUGACACCAGUGUUGUUUUCUCGAAAAUCAAUUAAAAAGUGGCGAGAUUUCGUGUUGUAUUAGACCUUUAUCAGCUUUACUGUACUUUUUUCCUGUCUUUUUUAAUGCACUUUUCGUUUAACAAGUCAACAUCAAUUUCUUUUGUUGUAAAAGGGUCAUUGGAAGGUGGCUUUCACUUUCGGUAGAAAGUGUUUAUAGCCUUUGGACUUCUGCAAUCGGAGAGAUUGAGGUCUGCAGCGUAGAUCCUUCGGGGUUAGAUAGCAUUAGAUGCUAAGUUAUAGCCUUUUCAUAGACAACUUGUUGACUAUGAUUCAGUCAUGUAGCUUACUCGCUUAUGCGCUAUUUUACCUACGCUUAGGAUGUUGAUCUCUCACAGUCGAGC